rnacentral:rRNA from 1 species
AAGUCUGACGGAGCAACGCCGCGUGAGUGAUGAAGGUUUUCGGAUCGUAAAACUCUGUUGUUAGGGAAGAACAAGUACGAGAGUAACUGCUCGUACCUUGACGGUACCUAACCAGAAAGCCACGGCUAAMUACGUGCCAGCAGCCGCGGUAAUACGUAGGUGGCAAGCGUUGUCCGGAAUUAUUGGGCGUAAAGCGCGCGCAGGCGGUCCUUUAAGUCUGAUGUGAAAGCCCMCGGCUCAACCGUGGAGGGUCAUUGGAAACUGGGGGACUUGAGUGCAGAAGAGAAGAGUGGAAUUCCACGUGUAGCGGUGAAAUGCGUAGAGAUGUGGAGGAACACCAGUGGCGAAGGCGACUCUYUGGUCUGUAACUGACGCUGAGGCGCGAAAGCGUGGGGAGCAAACAGGAUUAGAUACCCYGGUAGUCCACGCCGUAAACGAUGAGUGCUAAGUGUUGGAGGGUUUCCGCCCUUUAGUGCUGCAGCAAACGCAUUAAGCACUCCGCCUGG